UACGGAGGAUCCGAGCGUUAUCCGGAUUUAUUGGGUUUAAAGGGUGCGCAGGCGGGAGAUUAAGUCGGCGGUGAAAUUUUGCAGCUCAACUGUAAAAGUGCCUUCGAAACUGGUUUCCUUGAGUGUAGAUGAAGUAGGCGGAAUUUGUGGUGUAGCGGUGAUAUGCAUAGAUAUCACGAGGAACUCCGAUUGCGCAGGCAGCUUACUAAACUACUACUGACGCUCAGGCACGAAGGCGUGGGGAUCAAACAGGAUUAGAUACCCCCGUAGU
rnacentral:rRNA from 1 species